AUAAUCAUUAUUUAUAUAACCCAACUCAAAUACUAAGUAAAUAAUUCAUUCAUAUAGCCCCCAACUCAUUUAAGAACAUCAACGAACAUGAAUGUUUUUUUUUUUCCAGAGUACCAACUACCAUCCAUCGGUCUUCAUUUCACCCAACAGAGAUUAAUCUCUUCUUCUUCUUCUUCCGUUAGGCCACGAAAUCUCUUUUCUCUCUUUCUCUUUGUCUAACAGAUCUGAAUUAUUUUUUUUCCGGUACUAUUUUUUCAUCAUGUUAUGAAGAUCAAAUUUCUACCAUGUUGAAAUUCUGAAAAUCCCCAAUAUUAUCCAUCCCAAUUAUAACUGCCGGAGUCGAGAAGCAUUCGAUUUCCCAGCACCAGCAGCUUCUCGAAUGAGGUAUGCUCUGUGUUUCUCGGGUCUUGCAGACGUUAUCGCGCAGUUUUAGCUGUGGAAACAGAGCACAAAUCUCAAAAAUUCCACUUCCCUUGUUUAUAGGGUUUAUCCUUUUCUCACAGAACCUCCAUUCACGAAAGCUAUAAUAUUAAUCCAUAGUCAAUUUGUCACUGCUUUAAUUUGAUAAUUUUCUCUUCAUUUGGGCGGUUGAUCGGGAAUUGAUGGCGGCGGAGUGGCACCACUUCCUUCAAUCGGUGUCGUAGGGAGUCAUCUUCUCGUAUCUGCUAGCGAAGCUAUUCUUGUUGGGAGUCAUCUUCUUGUACUUGCUAGCGAAGCUAUUCUGGGUUAUAUUCGGCUUCCGCGAUGAGAAUCUGAGGAUCAAGAGCGUUGAUUCCCCCGAACCUGAAGUUGAAGUGAGAGCAGCUGAUUCUUCGGCUCGAAAUUCGGAUGAGAAUGAGCCGUUGAUCCGCGGAGGUGCGGUAUCGGGGAAUGAAAGCGUGGUGAUGAGUGAUCAUAGUGAUAGUGAUGAUGAUUGGGAGGGUGUUUUUCUUCUUCCUGCGUUUUUCUUCCUGCUUCUUCCUGCGUUUUAUUUUUCCUGCGUCUUUAAUUAAAAUUUUGAGUUGGGGCUAUACUGAUGGAGUUAUUAGGGUUAUACGUGAUUUGUCUGUUAAGAGAUUGUACGUAUUAUUCUUCUUUCAAAUUAAUCUUCAG
rnacentral:lncRNA from 1 species